rnacentral:rRNA from 1 species
GAUUAACGCUAGCGGCAGGCAUAAUACAUGCAAGUUGAACGGCAGCACAGGUAGCAAUACUGGGUGGCGAGUGGCGCACGGGUGCGUAACACGUAUGCAACCUACCCUAUACAGGCGAAUAACCUUUAGAAAUGAGGGCUAAUACGCCGUAGUAUUACAGAUGGGCAUCUAUUUGUAAUUAAAGAUUUAUCGGUAUAGGAUGGGCAUGCGUCCCAUUAGUUAGUUGGUAAGGUAACGGCUUACCAAGACGAUGAUGGGUAGGGGAUCUGAGAGGACUUACCCCCACACCGGUACUUCGCCACGGACCAGACUCCUACGGAAGGCAGCAGUAAGGAAUAUUAGGCAAUGGCCGCGAGGCUGACCCAGCCAUGCCGCGUGCAGGAAGACGGCCUUAUGGGUUGUAAACUGCUUUUAUACGGGAAUAAUAGAGUGUACGAGUACCUUUAUGCCAGUAUCGUAUGAAUAAGCAUCGGCUAACUCCGUG